rnacentral:rRNA from 1 species
AACGAACGCUGGCGGCAGGCUUAACACAUGCAAGUCGAGCGAGACCUUCGGGUCUAGCGGCGGACGGGUGAGUAACGCGUGGGAACGUGCCCUUCUCUACGGAAUAGCCCCGGGAAACUGGGAGUAAUACCGUAUACGCCUUUUGGGGGAAAGAUUUAUCGGAGAAGGAUCGGCCCGCGUUGGAUUAGGUAGUUGGUGGGGUAAUGGCCCACCAAGCCGACUAUCCAUAGCUGGUUUGAGAGGAUGAUCAGCCACACUGGGACUGAGACACGGCCCAGACUCCUACGGGAGGCAGCAGUGGGGAAUCUUAGACAAUGGGGGCAACCCUGAUUCUAGCCAUGCCGCGUGAG